UAACGGCUUUGAACUUUCGCUUUCGUUUUUCGACUACGGCUCUGCUUAGUGUUUGUUUUGGCUCGUCGCCCCCGCUGACGGAUUACACGGCUUUGGACUUCCGCUCUCGCCCCUCGACUACGACCCAGAUUCGCCCUUCCACUGCUACACUGCUCCUUAUCUCUUUGCUCUGCUCGCCCAACGCCUCACAGAACCACCUGCCUCUCUGCACCUGGAUCCAUCUCUCCGCCUGCUCGUUCUCACCUCCUGACAAAUUUACAUGCAGAAGUCAGAACAAUAUGUAUAAAGUAAUUGUGACCCUGGAUCCUGAUACAGCUCAUCCUGAACUCAGAGUGUCUGCUGAUGAAAAACAAGUGAAUGGUGGAGACACACGACAGGAUUUUCCUGAUACAAUAGAGAGGUUUAUUGUUGAUCCCUGUGUUGUGGGAAAGCAGUGUUUUUCCUCAGUGUGCAGGUCAGAGGGAGCACUGAGUGGAUAUUAGGAGUGAUAAGAGAGAACAUUAUCAGGAAGAAGGGGAUUCCAUGCUCACCUAAGGAUGGAUUCUGGACUGUGGGAUUGUUGGAGAAUCAGCACAAGGCUAAUUCUGGUCCUGCUGUCCCCAUCAACCUGAGAGAGAAGGUGGAGAUGUUUGUGGAUUAUGAGGAGGGUCUGGUCUCUUUUUAUGAUGUGGAGUCCAGAUCUCCUAUCUGGUCAGUCUUUCACUGAGAAACUCUAUCGAUAUUUUAGUCCAUGUUAUACAGAUGGUGUUUUACUUUUUUAGGACAAUGAACCACUGAGCAUAAUUGCUGUUAUUAAAUAAAUAUACUGUGUGAUUUAUAGCUUAUAACAUUUUAAACUACAUGUUUUACAGCUGGCUGCAAUCAUUACUUAUGUCUAAAAACAGAACAAUUUGUGUAAAAUAUGAUUUGAGACUAACUUAUUGUAUAUAAAAUAAGCAUAAACUCUAAAACAGCUAAAACAUGUAGAGCUUUUAUCAUUAUCUGACUUAAGCAGUUACAAUCAAAUUAAAGUCAUUAUUACACACAGUUACUGAUUAUUA